rnacentral:lncRNA from 1 species
AUUGAUUUAAAGAUACGCCUCUCACACUCUCGCGCUAUUGAGUUAUAUCAUGUAGAAAUAAAAUAAAUGUUUAACUGUCACUCUUACAUUUACUUAUGAAAACACUUUUUGAAAAUCAAUACAAUUUAAUUGGAAAAGAAUCUAGUUUUCACAAAACAACAUUAGUUUAAAAAUAUAGUCUCACGCCGUCGCGCUAUUGAACUGAUACUAUAUUAUAUAAAUGAAUGUUUCACUCUCGCUCUCACAUUUAUUUAUAAAAUACUUUUUGAAAACUAAUAUAGUUUAAUUAACUUUAAAGAGUUGUCGCGGUGUUUAAAAUUAAUGUUCAGUUUUUACUAUCUGGUAUAAAUCUCAC